GACCCUAUGGUGUAGUCGGUAACACUGCAGACUCUGAAUCUGCCACCCUGAGUUCGAGUCUCAGUAUGGUCA
rfam:Ectocarpus siliculosus strain Ec 32, whole genome shotgun sequence assembly, chromosome LG20